CCGCGGGAUUAGAGUUUGAUCCUGGCUCAGAGCGAACGCUGGCGGCAGGCUUAACACAUGCAAGUCGAGCGGGCGUAGCAAUACGUCAGCGGCAGACGGGUGAGUAACGCGUGGGAACGUACCUUUUGGUUCGGAACAACACAGGGAAACUUGUGCUAAUACCGGAUAAGCCCUUACGGGGAAAGAUUUAUCGCCGAAAGAUCGGCCCGCGUCUGAUUAGCUAGUUGGUGAGGUAACGGCUCACCAAGGCGACGAUCAGUAGCUGGUCUGAGAGGAUGAUCAGCCACAUUGGGACUGAGACACGGCCCAAACUCCUACGGGAGGCAGCAGUGGGGAAUAUUGGACAAUGGGCGCAAGCCUGAUCCAGCCAUGCCGCGUGAGUGAUGAAGGCCCUAGGGUUGUAAAGCUCUUUUGUGCGGGAAGAUAAUGACGGUACCGCAAGAAUAAGCCCCGGCUAACUUCGUGCCAGCAGCCGCGGUAAUACGAAGGGGGCUAGCGUUGCUCGGAAUCACUGGGCGUAAAGGGUGCGUAGGCGGGUCUUUAAGUCAGAGGUGAAAUCCUGGAGCUCAACUCCAGAACUGCCUUUGAUACUGAGGAUCUUGAGUUCGGGAGAGGUGAGUGGAACUGCGAGUGUAGAGGUGAAAUUCGUAGAUAUUCGCAAGAACACCAGUGGCGAAGGCGGCUCACUGGCCCGAUACUGACGCUGAGGCACGAAAGCGUGGGGAGCAAACAGGAUUAGAUACCCUGGUAGUCCACGCCGUANACGAUGAAUGCCAGCCGUUAGUGGGUUUACUCACUAGUGGCGCAGCUAACGCUUUAAGCAUUCCGCCUGGGGAGUACGGUCGCAAGAU
rnacentral:rRNA from 1 species